rnacentral:rRNA from 1 species
GUGAACCUGCUGCUGGAUCAUU